GCGAGCCCGCUCCUCGCGUUCAUUUCAUUCCUCGUCUCAUUCCGAACAUUCUUAGCAUCGCUCGCGCCGCACAAGCCCAUUCGCGAGCCCGGCCCGCCCCGCCACCGGCCUGGGCAGUAACUAAUCACUUGAAGGGAUUCAAUAAUCCUGCAGCCAGCAGCUAGAGCCUAGAUAUAAAUAGAGAAACUGCAGAUUAAAAAUACACACGGGGCUAUAAAUAGCAACCAAGCCCAGGGGGAGCUGGAAGAAGUUUGCAAUUGAAUUGCAAAGAGCUGCUGGUGGUUGCAAAGGUGGGGAGUGGAGUGGAGUGGAGAGCUGGUGCUGCUGCUGCUGGUUAAUUGCACAUUCAAGUGGAAAAUUUUCGGGAGUCAGCAGAAAUAUUGUAUCCAAAAAAGACAAAGUCGCAGUUACAACAAAACCGAAGAGCUUGUCCCUGGAAAACUUCCUUUCGGUUUAUUUUCUUUAAGACUC